CGGAGAUGGCGUUAAGCGCAUCCCGCCCCCGACGCGGAGAAAUGACGUCACUCGAACCAGGGAGCGCCGCCUACCUUACAGAGGAGGUAACUGGCUGCCUGCCCAUCAUGCCCAGCGCCCCCCUUUGGUGGGAAAAUGACCGCCUAUCCGUCUGAAUCAGUCUAUACCCUUCGGGGAGUAAUUAACCUGCAGUCCGUUGACUACAGACACCAAGGGCUCCUUAAGGCGCCAAGGCACUCACAGGACAACCAUCUCAUAACAAAUUCCAUCUACUCCCUGAUAAGACAACUCUAA
rnacentral:lncRNA from 1 species